rnacentral:lncRNA from 1 species
AUGGAUCUGAGAACGCUGUCUGGGCUUGGUACCAAGAGCUGGUAUUUCACAGCAGCGACCGCCUCACAGACGAGCUGUGGGAAGCAGGAGGGAGACUCUCUCUUAGGGUGCCACUACUAUGGAGACACAGCUGGGCUGAACAAGAUUUGCUUCAAACGACAACAAGAGAGACAGAAAGUAUCUGGUUCAACCGCUGCCCGAGCAGGCAGGCACCAGAAGAGCUAGCAGCCAAUCCGGCCAUGCUCGAAGCCAGCUCUGCAGCUCAGCCAAUCAGUGACAUCAUUGCUUUCUUUAGCUUGCCCAUGGUGAUGUGAAGAUGAGAAGAAAUAGCAAGGCCCAACCAGUUCUUCAUCUGGAGACAGUUCAACGUUCUGCAAACCAGAUCUUCAGGAAUUUUACUGGGAUAAUUAUCCAAAUAAAUUGCAAGCAUUCUAUCCAAAUGGACAUCCAUAAAAAUUCAUCAGAGAGCAUUUUACUACUGAGCUGCAAAGUGUUGACUUCAUUCUCAGAUGACAAGAGCACCUCAAAGGCAGCAGCCUCAAGGAGCAGCCAUGGCCCCAGACUUGUCGCACGGAUGCAGAAAACUUAAUGGAGGAGGCUGAGGUCAGAAUGGGAAGAGUUUUUAAAAAAUAAAAAGGGGAGCUAAUAUGUGAGGAACUGAUUGCUGUGCAUUAUUUUCCACUGAACAGACCUUCUUUUAACUUCUAAUCUCAAGCACAUAGCAGCUGUUGUUUUCAUAUUAAAGAUCAGUAAGUGUUUGUUGAAUGAAUGUAUAAAUUCUUCCCCAAUCUCUGUUCCAUGUAAUAAGAACUAAGUUAGCAUUCAAUUAUAAAGAGGACUUAGAAAGUCUGCAGACAUUUUUGAUCAAAAAUCCUUUUAACUGUCUUCUUAUGGUUCCCGGUAACACCUAAGCCCAAAAAACUCAGGUCAUUUCUUGCCUGUACUGUUGCAAUAGCCUCAUAAUAACUAGUCUUCUCCUUUAUCAACCACAGUCGUCUCCGCUACACAAAGAAGAGAGGGUGCUAAUCUAAAGUGUAAAUUAUUUUAAAUCAGCACCCUUCUUGUAAUUUCCCAGUGGUUUUUCCUGUCAUAAGAAUAACAUGCAAAAUUCCUUGCUUGCAAAGCCAGGUAUGACCUUGCCCCGUCUACCUUACUGGCAUCGUCUCUCAUGACUCUUCCCCUUUUUCACUCUCCAUCUUGCCUUUUCCCAACCAUGCCUGCUAGUGAGCCUUAGCCCUUGUGUUUUCUCUGCCAGGGAUGCAUGACUGGCUUCUUUACUUUAUUCUGAUCUCUCUGCUCAAAUGUCAUCUUUUUAGAGAUAGCUUUCCUAAACAUCUUUAAAAGUACCCCAUGAACUGUGAAACACCUUUCCUGCUUUUUCUUCAUAGUACUUAUCACUUCCUGAUAUUAUGUUAGACAACAAGCAAAUAAGUAUAUGCUGUUCCCACUAAAAUAUAAGCUCCAUUUGAACAGGAGCCUUGAUUAUUCCUGAGUAUACCCCUAGUGCCCAGAACCUAGUAGGGCUUUAAUAAAUAUUAGAUUCAUUUGUUGAAUGAAAAAAUGAAUGAAUAAUUGAAUAAAGAUAUCCAGGUAGAGUGUCCGGGCAGCCCAACCUAUGUGAAGCCAGUACAAGAAUGUUUCUGUGACAUAGUGAGCGCAAUUAUUCCUCUAAAUGAUGAACUUGCAUGAGUACACAAGGAUAAAAUUAAGCACGUAGUUUAGAUUUCUGCAAGUCUCUUCCUCAGAUUGAGGAAAAACAAAGAAAUUGAGCUUAUUCUCACCUCAUUCUUACAUGAACUAAAUCCAGAAUAAAGCAUCAUUUAAAUACCAAGCACAUCCCUACCUCAGCCACUCAUGGAAUACUUUAUCUGUAAAGGGACAGAUAGAUAGUAAAUAUUUUUGGCUUUGGGGACCGUACAGUCUGUGUCGCCACUACUCAGCACUUCUGUUGAGGUGUGGAAUCAGCCCUAGACAACACAUAAACAAAUGGGUGUGGCUGUGUUCCAAUAAAAUGUUAUUUAUAAAACUAGGAAAUCAGCAGAUUUAGUCCACAGGCUGUAGUUUGCUGACCCUUGAAUUAGAGAGUCUUCCCCAAAUCCUCUUCCCAAGUUAUUGAAAGAAUGCCCAUAGGACCAUAGCUCCCUCACCUGGUUCUUUCAAGAAAUGAGACAAAUUCAGGGAUGGUUGGAGGGUGGAACGCCUACCUGUGACAUGACUAUUGAGCCUGAUUUCUUUCCUUUUAUCUCUUUAAAGUGAGUCAGGUCUUAACUUUAAACUGUCUCUAAAGUGGCAAUAACUGGGCCAUGUCAAAUACUCCCAAUGACAAAAUUUCUUCUUGGAGAAUGAAUGAGGGUUGCAUACAGUGGUGUGUUGGUAAAUGUUUAGCAACUGGCUCUCUUACUGAUUUCUGUAGUGUAAAUUCUCCCAUCCUGGCCAUCUGAAACUACCAAUAUGAUGUCACUUGAUGUAGAGUUGGGAAAAGACAGUCUCUUGAAUAAGUAUGAGCUGGUUCCAGCCCACUGCUGAACACAUAUUUAAAAGCUACAAUAGCUCUGCUCACUGCCAUUGCAGAGUCUGGAGGAAAGAGUAGCAGGCUUGAUAGGAGCAAUUGGCUGAAUAAUCUUUUGCAAUGCCAAUAAAUAAUGAAAAAGUAUAUAAAUAUAACGCUGUAUAGAAAGCUCUCAAGUUCAGUGUUUGGUUAAAAUACAUACUCAGUAAAUGGUAGCUAUUAUUGUCUUAGUUUAAGUUAUUGCAAGCAUUAAAAUUAAAUGUUUAGCUACAGACUCAAUCCAGUUUUAAUGUCAUUGUGUUAAUAAGGCCUCUUAACAUUGAAGCAACAAAGAUAAAGGAAUUUUUUUGUAGCUAUUCACGAUUCUGCCCAGCUCAAGGUAAAGAUAGCAACAAAAUACUCCAACCAGAAUAAAAGAAGUCUCCACUUGACUGCAGCUCUUCGCAACACUUCACAAGGGUCAAGCUGUGUUAGUUUCCUUCAGUGUUAAACAGAAUGCAUCUUAAGAGAAUAGUUCAAUUAUUGAUUGAAUAGUAGGUUCAAGUUGACUAUAAUCCCAACUAAUACACUCUAAGACCAGGGAUGGGCCGACAGAAGGGUAAAGUUUUCCACUCAAGUCUCGAGGCAAACACUCAGAUAGAAGUAGUAAUAUGGAUGCCUUCUAUUAUUUGGUCACAUACAAUACUGUUCCAGCCCAGUUGUGCAAAACUGGUGAAAUAAAAGGCAAAAAUAUUGACAACAGUUUGGGUAACUGGAUUCCAAAAUGGGCAUCCAUCUAAGAGAAAUUAAUGAAAAAAAAGCAUAUGGACCUUGAAAUACAUUAAUACACAGUUUAGGUUUAAACACUCAGUUUUUAUUAGAAAAGACUAACUUAUCCUGUUUUGAACACUACAAAAGUGCUUUCUGAACCAUUUACUCUCAAACCUCCUCCACCCAUUCCCCUCCAUCUAUAACGCUUUCUGCACAUCUGUAAAAGGUAUGACUUAGUGUUUGGUCUGUGAAAUAAGGUUAAAAAGGAAGCAUUUCUUUUUACAUUCUAGCUAAUGUUGAUAUUUUUCUCAUGCUUCUAUUAGCACAUAAUUCAGAUACAUUAGUUUUGAAGUUUUGAAUCUUCUCUGCUUCUUGAGGGCUCUCUGUUCUAGAUCAACAUGAUCUGUGGAACACCAGCCAAGUCCUGGGCAGAACCCUCCCCGUUGUCCAAAUAUUACUGAAUCAGUUGAGUUUUCUCUGUUGUCAAUGAAUUAUUCCACAUGUUUCUUUGGCUACAUUUUUUUUGGCUUUCUGUUCACAGUAAAUAUAGCCUUUGUUUUUAAAAACUUCUAUUAUGAAAAUUCCAAAUAUAUG